GGGGGCGGGAUCCUUCACGGGAGCACUCGCGCACUCGGGACGUCGGCGUAGUGGGCUUUUCAUCCGACCCGUCUUGAAACACGGACCAAGGAGUCUAACAUGCAUGCGAGCCGGUGGGCGGCAAACCCACUUGAGAGGCGAAAAUAACUUGACAGGUGUGAUCCUAUCUCUAUUCAUAGGGAGCGGGGUGCAACAUCGACCGACCAUGAUCUUCUGUGAAAGGUUCGAGUAAGAGCAUGCCUGUUGGGACCCGAAAGAUGGUGAACUAUGCCUGAGCAGGGCGAAGUCAGAGGAAACUCUGGUGGAGGCUCGUAGCGAUACUGACGUGCAAAUCGUUCGUCAGACUCGGGUAUAGGGGCGAAAGACUAAUCGAACCAUCUAGUAGCUGGUUCCCUCCGAAGUUUCCCUCAGGAUAGCUGGAGCACGAAGGAGUUUCAUCAGGUAAAGCGAAUGAUUAGAGGCAUCGGGGGUGAAACACCCUCGACCUAUUCUCAAACUUUAAAUAGGUGAGAUCCGUUUCGGGGUUGCUUGAUUGAACCCCCGGCGGGG
rnacentral:rRNA from 1 species